AGCAGCCGCGGUAAUUCCAGCUCCAAUAGCGUAUAUUAAAGUUGCUGCAGUUAAAAAAGCUCGUAGUUGAAUUUCGGGACUAAUAUGUCGGUCGUGCCUCGGUACGUACUGGCUUAUUGGUUUCUCCUUUCUGAAGAACCAUGAUGUCAUUUAUUUGGUGUCGUGGGGAAUCAGGACUGUUACUUUGAAAAAAUUAGAGUGUUUAAAGCAGGCUCACGCUUGAAUACAUUAGCAUGGAAUAAUGAAAUAGGACGUUUGAUUCUAUUUUGUUGGUUUCUAGGAUCGACGUAAUGAUUAAUAGGGAUAGUUGGGGGCAUUAGUAUUCAAUUGUCAGAGGUGAAAUUCUUGGAUUUAUUGAAGACUAACUACUGCGAAAGCAUUUGCCAAGGAUGUUUUCAUUAAUCAAGAACGAAAGUUAGGGGAUCGAAGACGAUCAGAUACCGUCGUAGUCUUAACCNUAAAACUAUGCCGACUAGGGAUCGGAUGAUGUUAAUUUUUUAAUGGUCUCA
rnacentral:rRNA from 1 species